AUGCCACAUGAAAUAACGAAGCCCAAAAUAGCGCCGGAGCGGGCGCCAGUCUGGAUUCCACCACCGGCGGAUCAUCACAAGAUAAAUGUUGAUGCUGCGAUUUGUAAACAACCUCCUGUGGGGGCUAUAAGUGCGGUUUGUCGGGACCAAACAGGGACAUACACUGGCUCAGCAGCGACGGUAUUCCAUGGUAUGACGGAUCCGCACAUACUUGAAGCUUUGGCUUGCCGGGAGGCUAUCGCAUUAGCUAGGGACCUUGCGCUCACUCAUGUGAAGGUGGCUUCUGAUUGCUUAUCGGUGGUCAAAGACAUACACACUGGUACUAUGGGUACAAUUGCUCCAAUCGUGCAGGAGAUCAUCGACUCAACCAGGGAGUUUCAGUCGUGUUCUUUCACCCAUGAGAGACGUCUCUCCAAUAAGGAGGCUCAUGGAUUAGUUCGACAUGCUUUACAUUUAGGGGAGGGUCGCCAUGUAUGGCUGCUACACCCUCAUGAUACUUCUAUUAUUCCUGUAAUUCGCUCGAUUGAUCAAUAA
rnacentral:rRNA from 1 species